AUUGAACGCUGGCGGAAUGCUUUACACAUGCAAGUCGAACGGCAGCACGGACUUCGGUCUGGUGGCGAGUGGCGAACGGGUGAGUAAUGUAUCGGAACGUGCCCAGUCGUGGGGGAUAACGUAGUGAAAAUUACGCUAAUACCGCAUACGAUCUAUGGAUGAAAGCGGGGGAUCGCAAGACCUCGCGCGAUUGGAGCGGCCGAUAUCAGAUUAGGUAGUUGGUGGGGUAAAGGCCCACCAAGCCAACGAUCUGUAGCUGGUCUGAGAGGACGACCAGCCACACUGGAACUGAGACACGGUCCAGACUCCUACGGGAGGCAGCAGUGGGGAAUUUUGGACAAUGGGCGAAAGCCUGAUCCAGCCAUGCCGCGUGUGUGAAGAAGGUCUUCGGAUUGUAAAGCACUUUAAGUUGGGAGGAAGGGCUGUAGGCUAAUAUCCUGCAGUUUUGACGUUACCGACAGAAUAAGCACCGGCUAACUUCGUGCCAGCCGCCGCGGUAA
rnacentral:rRNA from 1 species